rnacentral:rRNA from 1 species
GAGUUUGAUCUUGGCUCAGAUUGAACGCUAGCGGGAUGCCUUACACAUGCAAGUCGAACGGCAGCACGGACUUCGGUCUGGUGGCGAGUGGCGAACGGGUGAGUAAUGUAUCGGAACGUGCCUAGUAGCGGGGGGAUAACUACGCGAAAGCGUAGCUAAUACCGCAUACGCCCUACGGGGAAAGCAGGGGAUCGCAAGACCUUGCACUAUUAGAGCGGCCGAUAUCGGAUUAGCUAGUUGGUGGGGUAACGGCUCACCAAGGCGACGAUCCGUAGCUGGUUUGAGAGGACGACCAGCCACACUGGGACUGAGACACGGCCCAGACUCCUACGGGAGGCAGCAGUGGGGAAUUUUGGACAAUGGGGAAACCCGUGAUCCAGCCAUCCCGCGUGUGCGAUGAAGGCCUCGG